rnacentral:rRNA from 1 species
GAUGAACGCUGGCGGCGUGCCUAAUACAUGCAAGUCGAGCGAAUGAUGAGGAGCUUGCUCCUCUGAUUUAGCGGCGGACGGGUGAGUAACACGUGGGUAAUCUGCCUGUAAGACGGGGAUAACUCCGGGAAACCGGGGCUAAUACCGGAUAACAAAAGAAGAUGCAUAUCUUCUUUUUGAAAGUCGGUUUCGGCUGACACUUACAGAUGAGACCGCGGCGCAUUAGCUAGUUGGUGAGGUAACGGCUCACCAAGGCGACGAUGCGUAGCCGACCUGAGAGGGUGAACGGCCACACUGGGACUGAGACACGGCCCAGACUCCUACGGGAGGCAGCAGUAGGGAAUCUUCGGCAACGGGCGAAAGCCUGACCGAGCAACGCCGCGUGAGCGAUGAAGGCCUUCGGGUCGUAAAGCUCUGUUGUUAGAGAAGAACAAGUACGAGAGUAACUGCUCGUACCUUGACGGUACCUAACCAGAAAGCCACGGCUAACUACGUGCCAGCAGCCGCAGUAAAAC